rnacentral:tRNA from 1 species
GGCUUCGUAGCUCAGAUGGUUAGAGCGCUGCAGGCGGCCGCCGGCAACACGACAGAGGUCGCGGGUUCGAAUCCCGCCGAAGCCA